rnacentral:rRNA from 1 species
AUUGAACGCUGGCGGCAUGCUUUACACAUGCAAGUCGAACGGUAGAGGGGGCAACCCCUUGAGAGUGGCAAACGGGUGAGUAAUGCAUCGGAACGUGCCCAGUCGUGGGGGAUAACGCAGCGAAAGCUGUGCUAAUACCGCAUACGAUCUAAGGAUGAAAGCGGGGGACCGUAAGGCCUCGCGCGAUUGGAGCGGCCGAUGUCAGAUUAGGUAGUUGGUGAGGUAAAGGCUCACCAAGCCGACGAUCUGUAGCUGGUCUGAGAGGACGACCAGCCACACUGGGACUGAGACACGGCCCAGACUCCUACGGGAGGCAGCAGUGGGGAAUUUUGGGCAAUGGACGCAAGUCUGAUCCAGCCAUUCCGCGUGCAGGACGAAGGCCUUCGGGUUGUAAACUGCUUUUGUACGGAACGAAAAAGCUCUUACUAAUACUAGGAGUCCAUGACGGUACCGUAAGAAUAAGCACCGGCUAACUACGUGCCAGCCGCCGCGGUAA